GCUCACGGCCAUACCAGCCUGGGUACGCCCGAUCUCGUCUGAUCUCGGAAGCUAAGCAGGGUCGGGCCUGGUUAGUACUUGAUGGGAGACCGCCUGGGAAUACCAGGUGCUGUAAGCA
rnacentral:rRNA from 1 species